GCUGGGCGUGGUGGCGCAUGCCUGUAAUCCCAGCUACUUGGGAGGCUGAGGCAUGAGAAUCACUUGAACCCGGGAAGUGGAGGUUGCAGUGAGCCGAGAUUGUGCCACUGUACUCCAGCCUGGGUGACAGAGUGAGACUCUGUCUCAA
rnacentral:SRP_RNA from 1 species